AUUGAACGCUAGCGGCAGGCUUAACACAUGCAAGUCGAACGAGCGGCGGACGGGUGAGUAAUGUCUGGGAAACUGCCUGAUGGAGGGGGAUAACUACUGGAAACGGUAGCUAAUACCGCAUACCAUCAGAUGUGCCCAGAUGGGAUUAGCUAGUAGGUGGGGUAAAGGCUCACCUAGGCAACGAUCCCUAGCUGGGUUGAGAGGAAGACCAGCCACACUGUGACUGAGAAACGGUCCAGACGCCUACGGGAGGCAGCAGUGGGGAAUAUUGGACAAUGGGGGAAAGCCUGAUGCAGCCAUGCAGCGUGUAUGAAGAAGGCCUUCGGGUUGUAAAGUACUUUCAGCGGGGAGGCGGUACCCGCAGAAGAAGCACCGGCUAACUCCGUGCCAGCAGCCGCGGUAAUUC
rnacentral:rRNA from 1 species